CUGUCACGCGAGGAGGAGCGCGACCAACCGCGCAGAGCUGCGCCGCCGUGUGCUAUCGCCGUCGCCUUGGAUUGAUGCCGCCGUCGAGCUUCGAGGAGAGAGAAGGAGGUUGCGGGGAGGAUGAGGCACGAUGGUGGUUUGUUCUGCCACCCCUACUGCCAUCGCCGCCACCGCUGCUACUUGCAUUGUGAGCUGCUGCACCAGCCACCACCGCAGGUGUCGCCGCUGGAGAAGGGAGCUGCGCCUCUGUGUUUCUGGUAGCCGGGAGUGGUUUCGUGACUUCUGGGACCACCGCCGAAGCCUCUGGCUGUUUCUGCCGUCACCGGAGAAUCCUGCCGGUAAGGUUUUAAGUAUUGGGUUUCGUUUCUCCUGAGUUUUCAGAAACGUUACAAUCACUGUAUAUUGAUUUCAGUCGCCGGAGUCUGAUCACCGUUGCCGCCUAGGAUGGCUUCUGGGGCUGCCGUCGAACCGGUUCGGAGACCGCCGCUGUUUCAGUUCAGCCGUUCCUUCGGUUCGAGUCGUUGUGGUUGCUGAGAAAAUGGUUUGGAGCUGAGGUGUUGGUAGCCGGGAUUUUGAUUGUUGAUUUCGGGUCGAGGCGGAAAGGACUCUGUGACACGUUUGAGUUAUGGAAUUUGCGUUUUGAGGUAGGGGCG